GCUCCCGUGGCGGAACUGGCAGACGCGCAGGACUUAGGAUCCUGUGCCGAAAGGCUUGGGGGUUCGAAUCCCUCCGGGAGCACCA
rnacentral:tRNA from 1 species